rnacentral:rRNA from 1 species
GAUGAACGCUGGCGGCGUGCCUAAUACAUGCAAGUCGAGCGAAUGGAUUAAGAGCUUGCUCUUAUGAAGUUAGCGGCGGACGGGUGAGUAACACGUGGGUAACCUGCCCAUAAGACUGGGAUAACUCCGGGAAACCGGGCCUAAUACCGGAUAACAUUUUGAACCGCAUGGUUCGAACUUGAAAGGCGGCUUCGGCUGUCACUUAUGGAUGGACCCGCGUCGCAUUAGCUAGUUGGUGAGGUAACGGCUCACCAAGGCAACGAUGUGUAGCCGACCUGAGAGGGUGAUCGGCCUCACUGGGACUGAGACACGGACCAGACUCCUACGGGAGGCAGCAGUAGGGAAUCUUCCGCAAUGGACGAAAGUCUGACGGAGCAACGCCGCGUGAGUGAUGAAGGCUUUCGGGUCGUAAAACUCUGUUGUUAGGGAAGAACAAGUGCUAGUUGAAUAAGCUGACACCUUGACGGUACCUAACCAGAAAGCCACGGCUAACUACGUGCCAGCCGCCGCGGUAA